rnacentral:rRNA from 1 species
CUACGGGGCGCUCCAGUGGGGAAUAUUGCACAAUGGGGGAAACCCUGAUGCAGCGACGCCGCGUGAAGGAUGAAGGUCUUCGGAUCGUAAACUUCUAUCAGCAGGGAAGAAACAAAUGACGGUACCUGACUAAGAAGCUCCGGCUAACUACGUGCCAGCAGCCGCGGUAAUACGUAGGGAGCGAGCGUUAUCCGGAUUUACUGGGUGUAAAGGGUGCGUAGGCGGCCUGGUAAGUUAGAAGUGAAAUUUUGGGGCUCAACCCCAGAGCUGCUUCUAAAACUGCUGGGCUAGAGUGCAGGAGAGGAAAGCGGAACUCCACGUGUAGCGGUGAAAUGCGUAGAGAUGUGGAGGAACACCAGUAGCGAAGGCGGCUUUCUGGACUGUAACUGACGCUGAGGCACGAAAGCGUGGGGAGCAAACAGGAUUAGAUACCCGCGUAGUC